rnacentral:lncRNA from 1 species
AAUUGUACACAACAGAACUAGGCCUGGCAAACCGGUAGGUCAGGCAGGUUUGGGUUGUCGGUCAGGUCAAAACGGGUUGAUUCAAUAAAGAAUUAUUUUGGUUUGGGUUGGGUUGGGGCGGAUUCGAGGUUGAUUCAAUAAAGAAUUAUUUUGGGUUGAUUCAAUAAAGAAUUAUUUUGGGUUGAUUCAAAUACUGUACAACCUCCAAGUUUUGACUUUCUAGUUUUGGCACCGGUUACGCGCAAUCAUGCCUCGGUUUACACAUGUUUAAAUGUCAGUUAUGUGUGCGGAACCGGUUAUGCGUGUGGAACGGGUUACAUGUACCAGGAUCGGGAAACAGACAUCUGGCGCCAUGUUACCAAGCCCCAACACAAACUUAACCAGCCGCUCAACUCGACGCAUUACCAGCGUUUGUUGGUUACACGCAUUCGGGUAUCAAUUAUAAGUUUGGCGUCUGUUACGCGUUUUUACUCAGGUUACGCAUACCGCAGCUUGGACACGCACAUAACCCGGCCGUGGUAAGCGCUUAACAUAGCACUCGACGUGAAACCAGCUUUGCACAAGUAACCGACGCCGGUUACGCGCGUGCCCUUGGUUACGCGUGUUUAAUGUUGGUUACGUGCAUUCCGGUGUCGUUCCUCACGUUUAGGUGUCAGUUAUGCACGCGGCGUUGGUUAAGCAUGUUUAAAUGCUGGUUACGUACCGUGGCCGAAAAAAACCCAUCCUACACCAUGUAACGUGUGUAACCCAGCUUCAAUACGUGCUUAAUCCAGCGUUCUACGCGUAGCUCCACAUGAGUAACCGGCGCCGGUGACGCAUGAGUAACGCACGCACCAGGUUGCGACAUCAGAUUUUUACAGAUGUUAUCUUCUAUCUCAACUUAUUAAUUGAAGUACCCAGAAAGAAAUACACCGUUCUCUCCAGUUUGAAAAAUGGCGCCAAACCAUACUGACCCGUUUGAAUAAUAACACCAAUCCAUUCUGACCCAUUUCAUUAGAAAGGGCUCUCUCAAUUAACCCACCCUGACCCGUUCAAUAAGAAACAGCUACCCAUAUCAAACCCAAAACUUUUGAAAAGCCACCCAUGUCAACCCAAUUUUGGGAUGGCAGGUUAAAUUUGCCAGGCCUGAUCUUUACGAUCCAAUCAUGCUCAAAUACAUCUUAACCGUUCAUUACGUUUAAUCUUACAGCAUUUGUAUAUCGUCUAAAAUUGCUUAAAGCGCAACAGCAAAGUCAAAAAUCGUACUUAACCACAUGUCAUCAGCAGCAGCAGCAGCUUAUUCUUCUCUUGAAGCAGAUUCUAGUCCCGCUGAAGGGUUAUCAGCAAAAUACUCCUGGUGUUUAACGUUUACGCCAUACUGCAAUAACAACCAUCAUUGACUUGUUAAUUAUUAGCAAGAGAACAAACUUCUAGAUGGAUAAUUUAUGUCAAACAUGUGCGCUACUGUGCUCAAUUAGAAGUCAUCAUCAUCAUCAAUAGCAAAGCUAAGGUAGGGUCUGAGGAGGGUAAGAUCUAGACAGCCUUGCCUCUACCCCGUAGGAAUAGAGAGGCUGCUUCCAGUGAGACCCCCGGCUCGAUCAAUAAGAACUAUGGUCGGUAUUUAAAAGUCAAAUACAAACUCUUGCUUUAGAUCUCACGUCAUCCGUUCAGACUUCAUCGAACCAACUUAAGAACAAAAGAGAUAUUGUUCUUCUUCAGCAGUUCAGCUCAUAACAAUGGUUACUAAAAGGCUAAUAGGUUGCUUUCGAAUGCAUGGAAAUCAAGCUAGGAGAUGCUUAGAAACGUCGCCUAGUUAAUAUUAGUCUUUUGAACAAUUUGAACAAUUUAUGAUUUGGUUUGUAAUGAGAUACUUGUCAUGACGUUUGUUAGACAUUUGCAUGAAAUCAGCUAAUCUUUAUU